GCCCUUAAGUGGGAGGGAUAAUCUCGGGAAAUUGAGGAUAAUACUCCAUAGAUCAUGACACCUGGAAUGAGUCAUGGUUCAAAGUUCCGGCGCUUAAGGGUCGGUCUGCGGCCUAUCAGGUAGUAGUGGGUGUAAUGUACCUACUAGCCUAUGACGGGUAUGGGCCUUGAGAGAGGGAGCCCAGAGUUGGAUUCUGAGACACGMAUCCAGGCCCUACGGGGCGCAGCAGUCGCGAAAACUUCACAAUGGGCGCAAGCCCGAUGAGGGAACUCCUAGUGCUAGCACUUUUUGUGUUAGCUUUUCUUCAGCGUAGAUAACUGAAGRAAWAAGGGCUGGGUAAGACGGGUGCCAGCCGCCGCGGUAAUACCUGCAGCCCAAGUGGUGGUCGAUUUUAUUGAGUCUAAAACGUUCGUAGCCGGUCUGGUAAAUCCUUGGGUAAAUCGGAAAGCUUAACUUUCCGAAUUCCGAGGAGACUGCCAGACUUGGGMCCGGGAGAGGCUAGAGGUACUUCUGGGGUAGGGGUAAAAUCCUGUAAUCCUAGAAGGACCACCGGUGGCGAAGGCGUCUAGCUAGAACGGAUCCGACGGUGAGGGACGAAGCCCUGGGUCGCGAMCGGGAUUAAAUACCCCGGUAGUCCAGGGUGUAAACGCUGCAGACU
rnacentral:rRNA from 1 species